rnacentral:tmRNA from 1 species
CUCUUUGCAUCCGUCCCCCAAAACGCCUAUAUUAGGCGUGCCGGUUUACCGGCUAUGGCGAUAAACGCACUGUGAAAUAAGCGUUGCGGACCCGGGGGCAGUGCCCGGCGCCUCCACCAUUUUCCGGUUUCGGCCCGACACAUCGGGCCGCACCCUAUGGGGGCGAAACAGGAUCGACGUGCGUGGUAAAGACUUUGUUUUCGCUCGGCAUUGUACCACCGUUAUCGGGCUAUUUUUACAGAUGCCAAUGACAAUUCUGAGGCAUUUGCUGUAGCCGCUUAAGGUUACAACGGGGUUCGGGGGGCACCUGGCAACAGAAGCCCCCCACU